rnacentral:rRNA from 1 species
UACGAAGGGGGCAAGCGUUGUUCGGAAUUACUGGGCGUAAAGGGCGCGUAGGCGGCUUAUCAAGUCAGGCGUGAAAUUCCCGGGCUCAACCUGGGGGCUGCGCUUGAUACUGAUUGGCUUGAAUGCGGGAGAGGAUAGUGGAAUUCCCAGUGUAGAGGUGAAAUUCGUAGAUAUUGGGAAGAACACCAGUGGCGAAGGCGGCUAUCUGGCCCGUAAUUGACGCUGAGGCGCGAAAGCGUGGGGAGCAAACAGG